rnacentral:rRNA from 1 species
UACAGAGGUGGCAAGCGUUGUUCGGAAUUACUGGGCGUAAAGGGCGCGUAGGCGGCCGCCUAAGUCAGACGUGAAAUCCCCGGGCUUAACCUGGGGACUGCGCUUCUAACUGGCAGGCUUGAGUGUGGCAGAGGGGGGUGGAAUUCCACGUGUAGCAGUGAAAUGCGUAGAGAUGUGGAGGAACACCGAUGGCGAAGGCAGCCCCCUGGGCUAACACUGACGCUCAUGCACGAAAGCGUGGGGAGCAAACAGG